GAUGAACGCUGGCGGCGUGCCUAAUACAUGCAAGUCGAGCGAAUGGAUUAAGAGCUUGCUCUUAUGAAGUUAGCGGCGGACGGGUGAGUAACACGUGGGUAACCUGCCCAUAAGACUGGGAUAACUCCGGGAAACCGGGCUACUACCGGAUAACAUUUUGAACCGCAUGGUUCGAAAUUGAAAGGCGGCUUCGGCUGUCACUUAUGGAUGGACCCGCGUCGCAUUAGCUAGUUGGUGAGGUAACGGCUCACCAAGGCAACGAUGCGUAGCCGACCUGAGAGGGUGAUCGGCCACACUGGGACUGAGACAUGGCCCAGACUCCUACGGGAGGCAGCAGUAGGAAAUCUUCCGCAAUGGACGGAAGUCUGACGGAGCAACGCCGCGUGAGUGAUGAAGGCUUUCGGGUCGUAAAACUCUGUUGUUAGGGAAGAACAAGUGCUAGUUGAAUAAGCUGACACCUUGACGGUACCUAACCAGAAAGCCACGGCUAACUACGUGCCAGCCGCCGCAGUAA
rnacentral:rRNA from 1 species